rnacentral:piRNA from 1 species
UUCCAUUAUCAAUGAAAACAU